CUUUUCAAGUGUUGUAAAAAUUCACGGAUUUAAUUAUAUUCCCACAUCCAAGAAUUUUUACAACACUUGAAAAGGAAAUCGAAUCAAAUUGUUUCUCAUUACAGGGAAAAUAAAAUGCACAGUUGUCUCUUUGGACCAAUAAAAAGGUAGACAAAAAUUCAUCAACAACUUGGUCCAUCCCAAAGAUCUUGCCCCACACUGGGAGCUUCCCAGGACAUGGGACUAAUUUCUACCAGACAAAAAAUGAUUUUUGGGUUCUCUAAUCCAUCUAACGUCUUCGCUUCUGCCUCUGAGUUGGGAACGUGAGAGGGACAGGAAGGGUUGCCAAUAAUAACUUGUUUUCACGUACAAGCUUGCACCCCAAAUUCUCAAAAUGCACUCUUAAGUUAACAGGACUAACCUUCAGAUCUUUGGCAAUGUCUGUCGGGUCAGUCCUGAAAUCAUCAGCAUACAGAGUCAGCACUAGGACAUAACUAAUGAGAUGAUCAGUUUUCUCAAUUGGCAGCCUUCUUGAUUCUGGAGUAAAAAUCUCCACAAAUUUCUGCCGAAGAAUGCUUGGAAACCUGUGGGUCUUUGCUGAGGAUGCACCAUCCAAAGAAUGCAGAUCUUUAAACUUUAUAAGAUGAGUAAUGUAGGAGAAGAUGUGCGAAAGUGUCUUCUUCUCCACUUCAUCCUGGAUUUCCUGUAAUUUAUGGAUUCUGUUGCGAACAAAACUUGGGUAAGCAUUGCUCAUUGCUCCAGCCCCUCCUUGCAAAAUCUCAUAAAUAUCUUCAAGGAAAUCCCACUCUCCUGUAAGAAUAAUCCUAUUCAAAGGAUAGGCCUCCUUAGGGGUGGUGGCAGAGGUGUUAUGAGGUGGAAUGUUUCGAGCAACAUGGGCACUAGCACUUUCAAGAGCCUCCUUGUUAACCACAACAUUAUCAAUUUUCUUGCCCAAAUCUCUCUGUGAUUCAGGAUCAUCUCCCUGCUUCAGAGCCUGUGCUUUUUUAUACUGGCUUACGGAUGCCUUUGAUCCAUAGGCAAGAUUAAGUGCCAUUAUCUUAUCUGCCUUUUUUUCUCCAGAAACCUCCUCAUUUUCCAAAACUGAAGGUUCCUUAUCAGCAGUAUCUAAUCCUCGGACUUUAGGUUGCAAUCUGAAUAUCUUAUUUCCGGCAACAGGCAUAAUCUUCAAAGUCUGAGUCUUCUUAUCAAAAACCCCAAGCGCAUAAGUGCACAACUGAGCAGCCGUAGCCUCACCUUUAUAGCUCUUGCCCACAAAAUCCAUAUCGUACGCAUUAGGAUUCACAACCAGUUCCAUCCUUUCUGAACUUUUCCAUUUAUCAUUCUUUUCAUUGGAACUUUUCUCAAUCUUGGUCCUUUGAGCAUUCCUAUAAAACCUAACAGUUGGCUGUGGAAGUGACAAGUUUUCUUCGUGAUUGGGUUCCUGCGAAUUGUUGCUGUCAUCAUAUUUACGAGGCUCAUAACCAGAAGGGAAAUAUCCCACUAUAGGCGGGGUUUUAUCAGGACGGUCAUAAAUGACUUCAAUUUUGACAUUCAUAGGUGGUUGCUCAUUGGAUUCAUCAACGUUGAGUGGCUGGGCAUUCUGGAUUGAGAUU
rnacentral:misc_RNA from 1 species